AUUGAACGCUGGCGGCAUGCCUUACACAUGCAAGUCGAACGGUAACGGGCCUUCGGGUGCCGACGAGUGGCGAACGGGUGAGUAAUACAUCGGAACGUGCCCGAUCGUGGGGGAUAACGAGGCGAAAGCUUUGCUAAUACCGCAUACGAUCUACGGAUGAAAGCAGGGGGCCGCAAGGCCUUGGGCGGACGGAGCGGCCGAUGGCAGAUUAGGUAGUUGGUGGGAUAAAAGCUUACCAAGCCGACGAUCUGUAGCUGGUCUGAGAGGAUGAUCAGCCACACUGGGACUGAGACACGGCCCAGACUCCUACGGGAGGCAGCAGUGGGGAAUUUUGGACAAUGGGCGCAAGCCUGAUCCAGCCAUGCCGCGUGCAGGAUGAAGGCCUUCGGGUUGUAAACUGCUUUUGUACGGAACGAAAAGCCUUCUUUUAAUACAGGAGGGUCAUGACGGUACCGUAAGAAUAAGCACCGGCUAACUACGUG
rnacentral:rRNA from 1 species